rnacentral:lncRNA from 1 species
UCUGUUCACUAACUCCCAGGUGUCAUUCUUGUAGAUCAUGUCUAGUUCAACUUCUAUAGUCUUCUUCCAAUGUUUGUCCUUGGCAACUUCCUCAAAAUCUGAAGGUUCCACUAUUGCAACAUCACAUCUUUGGUAGAUGUUAGCAAUAGUUCUAGUACCUCUUACAGGAGCAUCAUCAACAUCUUCAUUGCUUGGCCCUUCUUUAGUAGGUUCAACAGUGCAGUCUAGCUGAUCUUCUUUAAUUAGAUUUGCAUCUUCACCAUUCCAGCUCUAAAC